UAGGGAAUCUUCGGCAAUGGACGAAAGUCUGACCGAGCAACGCCGCGUGAGUGAAGAAGGUUUUCGGAUCGUAAAACUCUGUUGUUAGAGAAGAACAAGGACGUUAGUAACUGAACGUCCCCUGACGGUAUCUAACCAGAAAGCCACGGCUAACUACGUGCCAGCAGCCGCGGUAAUACGUAGGUGGCAAGCGUUGUCCGGAUUUAUUGGGCGUAAAGCGAGCGCAGGCGGUUUCUUAAGUCUGAUGUGAAAGCCCCCGGCUCAACCGGGGAGGGUCAUUGGAAACUGUGAGACUGUAGUGCAAAAUAGAAGAGUGGAAUUCCAUGUGUAGCGGUGAAAUGCGUGAAUAUAUGGAGGAACGCCAGUGGCUAAGGCGGCUCUCUAGUCUAUAACUGACGCUGAGGCUCGAAAGCGUGGGGAGCAAACAGG
rnacentral:rRNA from 1 species